GAUGUGGGAUCAGUUGGGCUGUUCCUGAGCUUUCUUUACCACUGCUUUGGGAUCCAGCAUGCAAAAGUUUGGUGCUGUUUGUUGGAGUUCUGGAUGCAGUGCUGGAGGAGGUGUCAUCAUUCAUGUGACAACAUGACAUUGGUUCCCAAACUCUGAUCCCUGAACCUACAAUAUCAAUAUCACGUGAAAACUUUGAGAAAUACAAAUUAUUGAUCUUCACUCCAGACCUACUGAAUCAGAAACCUUAUGAGUCUGGAGCAUCAGAAACGUUUAAAACAGGAAUUUGCUUAAAUAAACUCUCCAGAUGAUUCUGAUAGAGGCUAAAGUUUGAAAAUCAUUGUCUGGAACACAAAGCUGUCAACUGUUUUUAUCAUCUGGUGCAUGUUCAGAUGUGUUCAAUUUUGCCAAUGUAAUAAAGAUAGAUGUAUUACCAUUGUACAGUGGGCAGGGAGCUACUUGUCCUUCUCUUCAGAGUGUAUUUCUUGACAUUGACCAGUGCAUUCACCCAGAGAGUCUGCUGAAAUGUCAGGCCACUGUAUUUCUGUCGAGUCAUCUCCUACCUGGCAUGUAGGUUCUCUACCAUGUCAUUUAGGAACUGCUAGCUCCAGUUUACUUGGUAUCUUUCGGCAUGAAUUUACCACUUUAUUGGUCAAAAAUGAUGUCCUGUAGGGAUGAGAAGACGACUAGGACACCACAGCUAAAAAGUGGCCAGAACCAGAGAGCUGAAACAUAAUGCUGAAAGCUGGUGAAGUGUGGCACACUUUCUAUCACCUAGGGGUUACUUCUCAGAUUCUGUCACCCAUCACACUUUCCAACCUAUCUCACCUUUAGUAGGUAAGUCAUGGAACUUGGCCGUGGCCACACAGGGAUCCUAGCAUUUCCUUUGUGUUCUUCUUAAAGUAUUUCCCCCCACUAUAAUUGAUUUCUAUCCUCAUAGCUUUGUGGUUGGAGAUAUGAUUGACAUGAUUUCAUAUCACAUGCUUCACAUGAUUUCAACUUUCUUAAGUUCCCUGAGGCUUGAUUUGUGACCCAAGAUGUGAUCUAUUCUGGAGAAUAUUCUGUGUGCACUUGAGAAGAAAGUGUAUUCUGCUACUUUUGGGUGGAAUGUCCCAUAAAUAUCAAUUAAGUCUAUUUGAUCUAAUGGGUUAUUUAAGGCUUGUGUUUUCUUAAUUUUCUGUCUGAAUGAUCUGUCCAUUGGUGUAAAUAGGGUGUUAAAGUCCCCUACUAUUAUUGAAUUACUGUCAAUUUCCCCUUUUAUGGCUGUUAGCAUUUUUACUGUAUAUUAAAGGGCUUCCCUGGUGGCUCAGAUGAUAAAGAAUCUGCCUGUAAUGCAGGAAACUGGAGUUUGAUCCCUGGGUCAGGAAGAUCCCCUGGAAAAGGGAAUGGCAACCCACUCCAGUCUUCUUGCCUGAGGUGCUUCUAUAUUGAGUGCCAACAUUUCCUCUGAAAUAAGAAAGCCAACAUUAAAUGUGAUGACUUUUAUCAGCAUCUCUGACAUACAAGAAAUAAUUUCCAAGGUCCUUGUGGUA
ensembl:lncRNA